UUAAAUUGAAGAGUUUGAUCAUGGCUCAGAUUGAACGCUGGCGGCAGGCCUAACACAUGCAAGUCGAGCGGAAACGAGUUAUCAGAACCUUCGGGGGACGAUAACGGCGUCGAGCGG
rnacentral:rRNA from 1 species